GACGAAUGCUGGCUGCGUGCUUAACACAUGCAAGUCGAACGGUGAAAGGGAGCUUGCUCCCUGGAUCAGUGGCGAACGGGUGAGUAACACGUGGGCAACCUGCCCCUCACUCUGGGAUAACUCCGGGAAACCGGGGCUAAUACCGGAUACGACCUGGUGCGACAUCGCACCGGGUGGAAAGAACUUCGGUGAGGGAUGGGCCCGCGGCCUAUCAGCUUGUUGGUGGGGUAACGGCCGACCAAGGCGACGAACGGUAGGCGGCCUGAGAGGGCGACCGGCGACACGGGGACUGAGACACGGCCCAGACUCCUACGGGAGGCAGCAGUGGGGAAUAUUGCGCAAUGGGCGAAAGCCUGACGCAGCGACGCAGCGUGAGGGACGAAGGCCUUCGGGUUGUAAACCUCUUUCAGCGGGGACGAAGCGAAAGUGACGGUACCCGCAGAAGAAGCACCGGCUAACUACGUGCCAGCCGCCGCCGUAAGAC
rnacentral:rRNA from 1 species